rnacentral:rRNA from 1 species
CCUACGGGAGGCAGCAGUGAGGAAUAUUGGUCAAUGGGCGCGAGCCUGAACCAGCCAAGUCGCGUGAGGGAGGACGGCCCUACGGGUUGUAAACCUCUUUUGCCGGGGAGCAAAGGGCGUCACGUGUGGCGCCACUAGGGGUACCCGGAGAAAAGGCAUCGCAUAACUCCGUGCCAGCAGCCGCGGUAAUACGGAGGAUGCGAGCGUUAUCCGGAUUGAUUGGGUUUACAGGGUGCGUAGGCGGAUCGUUAAGUCAGUGGUCAAAUUGAGGGGCUCAACCCCUUCCCGCCAUUGAAACUGGCGCUCUUGAGUGGAAGAGAAGUAUGCGGAAGGCGUGGUGUAGCGGUGAAAUGCAUAGAUAUCACGCAGAACCCCGAUUGCGAAGGCAGCAUGCCGGCGUCCGACUGACGCUGAUGCAUGAAAGCGUGGGGAUCGAACAGGAUUAGAUACCCGGGUAGUC